CUGUUUGUGUUAGAAAUGUCUGUUUUGUCAGCAUUCAUCAUACAUAAAACACACAUAUACGCAUAUAUGCAUUCAAAUAUUCAUGUUGCAUUGUUUGCCAUAAACACCUUUGUUUGUUAUCUCCUGCUAGUUGGUAAUAUAUUUCCCCAAGCAGAUGUUUGUGCCUGAUCUCCCCAUGUAGAGUCAACCCCAUAAGCAAAAAAGUGUUUACCCUUUCUUCCAUAUUUCCCACUGAGUUAUGUCCUCGUGGAUGAUGGUUGUUUC
rnacentral:lncRNA from 1 species